rnacentral:rRNA from 1 species
GACGAACGCUGGCGGCGUGCUUAACACAUGCAAGUCGAGCGGAAAGGCCCUUCGGGGUACUCAAGCGGCGAACGGGUGAGUAACACGUGAGUAACCAGCCCCAGGCUUUGGGAUAACCCUCGGAAACGGGGGCUAAUACCGGAUGUGACUUCCUGCCGCAUGGUGGGGGGUGGAAAGUUUUUUCGGCUUGGGAUGGGCUCGCGGCCUAUCAGCUUGUUGGUGGGGUGAUGGCCUACCAAGGCGGUGACGGGUAGCCGGCCCGAGAGGGCGACCGGCCACACUGGGACUGAGACACGGCCCAGACUCCUACGGGAGGCAGCAGUGGGGAAUAUUGCACAAUGGGCGCAAGCCUGAUGCAGCGACGCCGCGUGAGGGAUGACGGCCUUCGGGUUGUAAACCUCUUUCGGCAGGGACGAAGCCGCAAGGUGACGGUACCUGUAGAAGAAGCGCCGGCCAACUACGUGCCAGCAGCCGCCGUAAUAC